GACGAACGCUGGCGGCGCGCCUAACACAUGCAAGUCGAACGAGCGAGAGAGGGCUUGCUUUCUCGAGCGAGUGGCGAACGGGUGAGUAACGCGUGAGGAACCUGCCUCAAAGAGGGGGACAACAGUUGGAAACGACUGCUAAUACCGCAUAAGCCCACGACCCGGCAUCGGGUAGAGGGAAAAGGAGCAAUCCGCUUUGAGAUGGCCUCGCGUCCGAUUAGCUAGUUGGUGAGGUAACGGCCCACCAAGGCGACGAUCGGUAGCCGGACUGAGAGGUUGAACGGCCACAUUGGGACUGAGACACGGCCCAGACUCCUACGGGAGGCAGCAGUGGGGAAUAUUGCACAAUGGGGGAAACCCUGAUGCAGCGACGCCGCGUGGAGGAAGAAGGUCUUCGGAUUGUAAACUCCUGUUGUUGAGGAAGAUAAUGACGGUACUCAACAAGGAAGUGACGGCUAACUACGUG
rnacentral:rRNA from 1 species